rnacentral:rRNA from 1 species
GAAACGUUAUCGAUAAGAAGAGAGCGUCUAGGCGAACAAUGUUCUUAAAGUUUGACCUCAAAUCAGGUAGGAGUACCCGCUGAACUUAAGCAUAUCAAUAAGCGGAGGAAAAGAAACCAACCGGGAUUGCCUUAGUAACGGCGAGUGAAGCGGCAAAAGCUCAAAUUUGAAAUCUGGUACCUUUGGUGCCCGAGUUGUAAUUUGGAGAGGGCAACUUUGGGACCGUUCCUUGUCUAUGUUCCUUGGAACAGGACGUCAUAGAGGGUGAGAAUCCCGUGUGGCGAGGAGUGCGGUUCUAUGUAAAGUGCCUUCGAAGAGUCGAGUUGUUUGGGAAUGCAGCUCUAAGUGGGUGGUAAAUUCCAUCUAAAGCUAAAUAUUGGCGAGAGACCGAUAGCGAACAAGUACAGUGAUGGAAAGAUGAAAAGAACUUUGAAAAGAGAGUGAAAAAGUACGUGAAAUUGUUGAAAGGGAAGGGCAUUUGAUCAGACAUGGUGUUUUGCGCCCUCUGCUCCUUGUGGGUGGGGGAAUCUCGCAGUUCACUGGGCCAGCAUCAGUUUUGGUGGCAGGAUAAAUCCGUAGGAAUGUAACUUGCUUCGGGAAGUAUUAUAGCCUAUGGGAAUACUGCCAGCUGGGACUGAGGACUGCGACGUAAGUCAAGGAUGCUGGCAUAAUGGUUAAUGCCGGUCUUGAAACACGGACCAAGGAGUCUAACGUCUAUGCAAGUG